CUCAGUCUUCCCCAUGUAGGAAGGCAACUACCAGGCGCCAAUGCUUUAGACCUGAGGACAAUAAGGAGGAGUCGUUGGACGGACAGUCCCCAACUUCUUCCCAUUCAUCUUUCUCUGUGGCGUUGACUUUGCAUUGGUGUGCUCGAGAGGGCACUCCAAAGACCAGUCUUCCAUUCCAGAGCCAAGUCCUCCCCGCUUUGGAAGUCUCCCGGCUCUUGGUUUCCUGAUCACAAAUUUCAAUCUCCAGCUGCCCACUGCACCAUCAUCACCGCCCCUAUUCCAUCUGAAGCUCCUUGCCUGCCAAAUUUCGCAAGGCUUUGUCACCUCCUCGAAGUAGUCAAGCAUGAUGAAUGGGUACCGCAAGAUGAGGGUGAGCGAUCGCUUCAUAAGCAAGUCCAGUUCCAUAGACUUCUCAGACCUCACCUUCUAUCCUGAGCCAAAGGAAAGCCAUGAACACCCAUAUCCCACAUCUAUGGCUCAAGAGGGAGACACCGAUGUCGAGAUUCAUGAUCAGUCCUUUACAUGGGAAGAGGUGGAUGCGGCACGGCCGGGCUCUGGGUUAGCACUUAGCAGGAGCUGCUCCUCUGCCUCUCGAAGGUUCAGGGCUAGUGGCAAGACCAUCCUCGAGACCAUGGUGAGGAAGGCCUUCACAAUGAGGAGGUCCUCCUCUGUUGCUGGAGGGUACUGGAAGAUCCAUGACACCGAUGGUGGAGAUGGGGAAGGGGAGUUUGUAGAGGAGCAGCAGCUGAGAUCUCCCAUGAAGAAGAAGAAGAAGAAGAAGAAAGGGAAUAUUCUCAGGGCAUGUAAACAGAUCUUUGGAUUCUAGGCAAUGCCAUCUUUUGUAACGAGACCUAUCUUUCUUCGUUUGCUUCGAGAGGGAGAAAAAGAGAAUAAAAAGAAGAAAUUCUUGCUUGCUCCGAUGCUUGUGUUGGCGUUUGCGAUCGAAUAAUAAUAGUUUCCCGUCCCUCGGUUUUCUUC